GAUGAACGCUGGCGGCGUGCCUAAUACAUGCAAGUCGAGCGAACAGACGAGGAGCUUGCUCCUCUGAGGUUAGCGGCGGACGGGUGAGUAACGCGUGGAUAACCUACCUAUAAGACGGGGAUAACUUCGGGAAACCGGAGCUAAUACCGCAUAAUAUAUUGAACCGCAUGGUUCAAUAGUGAAAGACGGUUUUGCUGUAACUAAUAGAUGGAUCCGGGUCGCAUUAGCUAGUUGGUAAGGUAACGGCUUACCAAGGCAACGAUCCGUAGCCGACCUGAGAGGGUGAUCGGCCACACUGGAACUGAGACACGGUCCAGACUCCUACGGGAGGCAGCAGUAGGGAAUAUUCGGCAAAGGGCGAAAGCCUGACGGAGCAAUGCCGCGUGAGUGAUGAAGGUCUUCGGAUCGUAAACCCCUUUUAUUGGGGAAGAACAGAUGUGUAAUUAAAUAUGCACGUCUUGACGGUACCUAAUCAGAAAGCAACGGCUAACUACGUG
rnacentral:rRNA from 1 species